rnacentral:rRNA from 1 species
AUUGAACGCUGGCGGCAGGCCUAACACAUGCAAGUCGGACGGUAGCACAGAGGAGCUUGCUCCUCGGGUGACGAGUGGCGGACGGGUGAGUAAUGUCUGGGGAUCUGCCCGAUAGAGGGGGAUAACCACUGGAAACGGUGGCUAAUACCGCAUAACGUCGCAAGACCAAAGAGGGGGACCUUCGGGCCUCUCACUAUCGGAUGAACCCAGAUGGGAUUAGCUAGUAGGGGGGGUAACGGCCCACCUAGGCGACGAUCCCUAGCUGGUCUGAGAGGAGGACCAGCCACACUGGAACUGAGACACGGUCCAGACUCCUACGGGAGGAAGCAGUGGGGAAUAUUGCACAAUGGGCGCAAGCCUGAUGCAGCCAUGCCGCGUGUAUGAAGAAGGCUUUCGGGUUGUAAAGUACUUUCAGCGGGGAGGAAGGCGAUGUGGUUAAUAACCGCAUUGAUUGACGUUACCCGCAGAAGAAGCACCGGCUAACUCCGUGCCAGCCGCCGCUGUAA